rnacentral:rRNA from 1 species
AGUGAACGCUGGCGGUAGGCCUAACACAUGCAAGUCGAACGGCAGCACAGGAGAGCUUGCUCUCUGGGUGGCGAGUGGCGGACGGGUGAGGAAUACAUCGGAAUCUACUUUUUCGUGGGGGAUAACGUAGGGAAACUUACGCUAAUACCGCAUACGACCUACGGGUGAAAGCAGGGGAUCUUCGGACCUUGCGCGAUUGAAUGAGCCGAUGUCGGAUUAGCUAGUUGGCGGGGUAAAGGCCCACCAAGGCGACGAUCCGUAGCUGGUCUGAGAGGAUGGUCAGCCACACUGGACCUGAGACACGGUCCAGACUCCUACGGGAGGCAGCAGUGGGGAAUAUUGGACAAUGGGCGCAAGCCUGAUCCAGCCAUACCGCGUGGGUGAAGAAGGCCUUCGGGUUGUAAAGCCCUUUUGUUGGGAAAGAAAUCCAGCUGGUUAAUACCCGGUUGGGAUGACGGUACCCAAAGAAUAAGCACCGGCUAACUUCGUGCCAGCCGCCGCGGUAA